GAGCUUAAGUGAGAGAGAGAGAGAGAGAGAGAGAGAAAAGAGAUCUUCACCUGUAGAACUCAGAUUCUCUCACGCGCUUUAGGAUCGUUCCUGCUCCUGAGUGAUGACCCGUCUCAAGAUCCGAAUCCAGGAUCUUCUCUAGCGAUGGCGACGGUGAUUGAAACCGAGGUUAACCAUGGAUUUUCGAAGGAAAGGUAUGGAAUGGGAGCAGAUAUUUCUCAUGAUAACAAGAUCGGGAUGAUAUGGUUUCGAUACGGAAUUUCGGCGAAACGGGCUCGACGGGACUUACGAAGAGACAUACGGUAUAGAGGUCUUUAAAGGAUAGCUCUAUGGAGAUCUUUGGAUUGGAUAUGGAAUCAAUCACAAGAUUACAGAGAGCGAUACUGGAUCUUUCAGAUUCUCGGAUUGCGAUUUCCAGAAUCUGUUGUAGGAGAUAUGGUUUUAAUGAGUGAGGGGACAAGCAUAUGGAAUUGCUAUAAAAGGAGAUGUGAGCUACAACUAAUAUUCACAGUUUCACAUCUCAUCUCACUAAAGUUUUAUAUUUCUAUUGGUUCUAUCUUGGCUUGGCUGAUAAUUACUCAGAGUCAGCUUGUGGGAUAUGAAGAGUGGUGAAGCCAACAGGAAACGUUUCAAGUUUUCAAUAAAAUAUCAGUUAUGGAAGCUGUUUGGGAUCUUUGGUCACGUUUUCUCUCCUGCUUUAAUGUUGCUUAUUUCUAUUUGUGAGUUUAAAGUAUUGGAAUAAAAAGGGCUUAUUUGAUUCAUACCGGUGUUUCUCUUUUCUCAGGGUCCAGAAUGAGAUAAUUGAAGAGAUGAGGUCUCAUGGGCUUAUUGGGUCUCAUGGUUUCAUAGUCAGGUUAUGGAUUCUGCCGUCUGGGUUACUUUUGUUGAAGCAAGCUCUCUGUUUGGUCUCAUCAAACCAGUCACAGAGAGUAGAGCUAGAUAUGGCAAAGAUUCGGAAGGGGGUUCUAAGGUUGGCGCAGAUUAGUGCAAGGAUAGAAACAAGGAUCGUGGAUGAGCUUUACUUGGACCUGGCGAGUAUUCAUCCAGCGGUGUCAGGCUCUGCGAAUUUUAUGCUAGUGGUUCACCUUGACAACAGAAAUAUUUCAGGAAACGGGGGAUAUCUUGAUAUGGUGUUUGGUUUGGGAUGGACACGAAGAUCACACCUUUUGUCUAUAGAAGAAUUGUUAGGAAAAUAUCAUUUUGGUGCAGACUAUUAUUUGUCUAUUUCUAUUUUAAAAGCGAUAAAGAGGAACGUUUUCUUGAAAAAAAAAGAAUUAUUGGGUAUCAUCAAAUGUUGGUACUUUGGUCGUAGGCUCCGACGUCAACACUUAUAUUGAAGAGUGGUAUUUUAUUAAUAUGUUGGAACUAAGUGCGCUAUUAGGCAAAUGGUCACACUAGGAAGAGUUUUUCAUUGGCACUUAUAAAAAAUCUACGGUGAACGACUGGCGUGAAGAAAUAGGGAGAAAUUAUAUUCACACUGGCGGGAAUGGAUUAUUGGUUUUCAUUACUUCGGAAUUUAUAAAAAGUAAUUUUUGUACGGUAUUAUAUUAUGAUUGGCGUCGUGUAAUUUUCGUUGGUAUCCUAUGGGCGUUUUGGAGUUUAUUGUUACUAGAAUACAUCUUAAA